AGCAUUAGAGGAUAGAAAUGGCAGCUAUCGCACAUUAUGUUAUGAGAUGCAGGAAUUGUCGCCCUGCCUAAUGUA
rnacentral:ncRNA from 1 species